rnacentral:rRNA from 1 species
AGAGUUUGAUCCUGGCUCAGGAUGAACGCUAGCGGCGCGCUUAACGCAUGCAAGUCGAGCGAUGAGGCGUCCUUCGGGACGUACAUCAGCGGCAAACGGGUGAGUAACACGUAGCUAACCUACCCUCAAGACGGGGAUAACCACGGGAAACGGUGGCUAAUACCGGAUGACCUCUCGGACCUGGGAUGGUGGGAGAGGAAAGGCGCCCCUUAGGGGGAGGCGCUUGAGGAGGGGGCUGCGGCCCAUCAGCUAGUUGGUGAGGUAACGGCUCACCAAGGCCAAGACGGGUAGGGGGCGUGAGAGCAUGGCCCCCCACAAUGGGACUGAGACACGGCCCAUACUCCUACGGGAGGCAGCAGCGGGGAAUAUUGCGCAAUGGACGGAAGUCAGACGCAGCGACGCCGCGUGGACGAUGAAGGCCUUCGGGUUGUAAAGUCCUUUUCUGAGGGAAGAGACAGGACGGUACCUUGGGAAUAAGCGUCGGCUAACUACGUGCCAGCAGCCGCGGUAAGACGUAGGACGCGAGCGUUAUCCGGAUUUACUGGGCGUAAAGAGCCUGUAGGCGGUUGGGUAAGUUGGAUGUGAAAGCCCCGUGCUUAACGCGGGGAGGCCAUUCGAUACUGCCCGACUUGAGGGCGACAGAGGAGAGUGGAAUUCCUGGUGUAGCGGUAAAAUGCGCAGAGAUCCGGAGGAACACCAGUGGCGAAGGCGGUAUGCUGGGUCUGUUCUGACGCUGAGGUGCGAAAGCGUGGGGAGCGAACGGGAUUAGAACCCCGGGUAGUCCACGCCGUAAACGAUGCAAACUAGAUGUUAGCGGUCGAAAGGCCGUCAGUGUCGUAGCUAACGCGAUAAGUUUGCCGCCUGGGGACUACGGUCGCAAGGCUAAAACUCAAAGGAAUUGACGGGGACCCGCACAAGCAGCGGAGCGUGUGGUUUAAUUCGAGGCUACGCGAAGAACCUUACCUGGGCUUGACAUGCUGGUAGUAGUGAACCGAAAGGGGAACGACCUUCGGGAGCCAGCACAGGUGCUGCAUGGCUGUCGUCAGCUCGUGCCGUGAGGUGUUCGGUUAAGUCCGAAAACGAGCGCAACCCCUGGCCCUAGUUACAUGUGUCUAGUGCGACUGCCCGGGGAAACUGGGAGGAAGGUGGGGAUGACGUCAAGUCAGCAUGGCCUUUAUGUCCAGGGCUACACACACGCUACAAUGGCCGGUACAAUAGGCAGCCAAGCCGCGAGGCGGAGCGAAUCCACCAAAACCGGUCUCAGUUCGAAUUGCAGGCUGCAACCCGCCUGCAUGAAGUCGGAGUUGCUAGUAAACGCGGAUCAGCCACGCCGCGUUGAAUACGUUCCCGGGUCUUGUACACACCGCCCGUCACGUCAUGGGAGCUGGUCACGCCUGAAGUCGGUAAGCUAACCUCACGGAGGCAGCCGCCGAGGGUGGGGCUGGUGACUGGGACGAAGUCGUAACAAGGUAACC